rnacentral:rRNA from 1 species
AACGAACGCUGGCGGCAGGCUUAACACAUGCAAGUCGAGCGCACUCUUCGGAGUGAGCGGCGGACGGGUUAGUAACGCGUGGGAACAUACCCUACUCUAAGGAAUAGCCUCGGGAAACUGAGAGUAAUACCUUAUACGCCCUUCGGGGGAAAGAUUUAUCGGAGAAGGAUUGGCCCGCGUUAGAUUAGAUAGUUGGUGGGGUAACGGCCUACCAAGUCGACGAUCUAUAGCUGGUUUGAGAGGAUGAUCAGCAACACUGGGACUGAGACACGGCCCAG